UACGUAGGGGGCUAGCGUUGUCCGGAAUCAUUGGGCGUAAAGCGCGUGUAGGCGGUUCGGUAAGUCCGCUGUGAAAGUCGGGGGCUCAACCCUCGGAUGCCGGUGGAUACUGUCGAGCUUGAGUACGGAAGAGGCGAGUGGAAUUCCUGGUGUAGCGGUGAAAUGCGCAGAUAUCAGGAGGAACACCAAUAGCGAAGGCAGCUCGCUGGGACGUUACUGACACUGAGGCGCGAAAGCGUGGGGAGCGAACAGG
rnacentral:rRNA from 1 species